rnacentral:lncRNA from 1 species
AGAUGCUAAGCCUGGAAACCCACAGGAAACAUGUUAUUCUUCAGUAUUUGCAAAGCACUGAUAAAAACAUCUCUCUUCUCUCAAUCUUGCUUCCUUCUUUUCAUUUACUAAAUAGGCUUUUGAGCCUCACAAGACUUUGAGAUUUUAUGGAUAUGAAACCUGCUAUCAUUUAGCAUCCUGCCUCUGGGAAUAGACAUGGAUUCUCACUAUGACACCCAGGCUGGAGUGCAGUGGCACAAUCAUAGCUGACUACAGCCUCGAAUUUCUGGGCUCAAGCAAGGCUUUCAUCUCAACCUCCCCAGGAGCUGGGAUUACAGAUGGUGUCAGAAGCGGGGUUCAAAGUAGAGCUUUAAUGACCCCCAGAAGUGCUGAGUGAACAAGCAAGGUACCUGCAAGGACCCACUUGUGUCCUUUGAUCUCUCAGAGCAGUGGUAUUUACACACAGAUGCUCCAUGAUGGGUCACAUCCAAACUUAUCAUAAAGUCAAAAAAUUUUCUAGAGGCUGAUAAGUCCAAGCAUAUGGUGCCAGCAUCUGGUGAGGCCUUCUUGCUGUGUAAUCUCAUGGCAGAAGAGUGGAAGGACAAGUGAGCACAUGCAAAAGGGAUUGUACAAGGUGCUGAGCUGGCUUUAUUACAACUUGCUCUUGAGAUAACUACCAACUCUGAUGAUAGGACCUUAAUCUAUUCAUAAGGGUGCUGCCUAUGAUUUGAUUACCUCUUAAAGGCCCCACAUCUUAAUACUUUUACAAUGGCAAUUAAAUGUCAACAUGAGUUUCAGUGGAGACAAACAUUCAAACCAUAGCAAAGGCUUAGAAUAGAAUCCUAGGAAUUCCAAAAUUGCCAGACAGAGAAAAAGAUGACAGCUACAGAAUCUGUGAAAUAUGUUCAUCAAAGUAAAAAGAAAUCCAGACAGUCAGUGACCUGUGAGCCAAUGGAAGAGAGAGACCACACAGGUGAGUGCCAAUGAGAGAUCAAAUGAGAUAUAGGUCAUAGUUACUUGUUCUAUUAAAUGACAUAGAAGAUAAAGGUGGCCUUAGCAAAAAUAGAAUUUCAAACUGUUAGGGAGGAAGCCAGACUGGAAUUAGAGAGGUAGCUGAAGAAUGACAGGGAAUGAGUAGAGAGGAACAGAGAGUAUAGGUUCUUUUGAAGAGCCAGGAAAGUUGGCAUGAAGAAGCUCAAUAUCUCUUUCUGUCUCUCAUUCUCACUCUGUGUGUGUAUGUGUGUGUGUGUGUGUGUGUGGUGGGGAGAAGGAAUAAGAGACAGAAAUCUUGAAACAUUAAAAUUAUCAUUAAAUGAUGGUGAGAAGGAAAGAAAUAUAAAAGUUAUGGUAAGAGAAAAAUAUGAGUAAUAUUUAACUCUUUCCAGAAAGGAUCCUCAAACCAAAGAACAUCCAUUUAGGCACUAUGGCUAGUGUUCAAACACACAAUAACCUCAAAAUAACACUUGCUGUCAAGCAGAAUUUGUAAAACUGAGCUGAAUAAUCAUGGAUUCAAAGGAAUUUAUUUCCUGACAUAUCAAAAUGGCCUUGUUUAAAUCAUGUAAUCGAGUCUAUAAUAAAAAUUUAAUCUUAAGGUUUUAUAGCUCAAAAAAAUCUGUAUUUUAAAUUUUUAGGCAGUUUCUUCUAAGGUGAACAAUGGUAUUUACCUUUUGGGUAGAACAUGACUUAUUUUUGGAAGUAUUGCUUGAGUAAUAUUAAGAAUUAGGAAAUAUCUACUUGCUGAUAUGAGAGUAUACAAAAAUGUUUGCUUGACAAGCUUCCGAGGGCUCUGUAAGAUUGUGGUGAUAUCAGAUAAUGCCCUUCCCAAAUGUGUCUGCUCAUCAAUGAAUUUACACACAUGCAUAACAGCUUCCUGGGAGCAGAAUGGCUUGUACCUGGUUCUGUCUCUGAGUGUUUCAAAGAUAUGGAAGCAUGUUUGAUGAAAGAUCAUGGAAUAGCAAAGAAAAAUAGCACCAAAAAGGCAAACAAGGCAGGGAAAGAUUCUAGACUAGUGAUUUGGGAUCAACACAGGACAGGAUGAUUAGAGAGAAUAGCUUCCUGUGCACACUAUGUAGUUUGAUGCAGAAGCCAUCCUGAUCCAGAUGCCCUGGUACUGUGGGGCGGGACCUUGGAAAAAUUACCCAGAGGAUGUGAAGUGAAAGUUUUGUUACACCAUUCUUCAGAGUGAAGGCAGUUUUCCUACAGAAACCUUCAAAAAAGGAGAUGCAUCCUUCCUUGUUCCUGGCAGUCUUGCAUUUGAGGAAAUCAGUAUGCUCCAACUUAGGUGAGUUAGGCCACUGGCCAAUUUUUUUUUUUUUCUGUAGCCCUCCUCUACUCUGAGUUCCUAAUUCCACUUGUUCUGAAUUUUUUUUGGUGACGCAUUGUCUCCAUUAUUGAACUUAGUCCUUUCAAAAAUUAGCAAAGCUGGGAAUUUUCAUCCUAUUCUUUUCCUACUUUCAGAACUUUGAACUUUGAAUUUUCAGGAAGCCAUGAAGAAUGGAGUAAGAUUCUAGGACCAGUUAACAAGAACAUGUAAAAUAAUUUGUUUGUAAAAUAAUCUUAUGAGGCUAAAGCACAAGCCAGAGCAGAUUUUUUUCAAAAUGCAUAAGCAACACUUGUUCAAUUCCACCUGCUGCAGUUAAAGAAAAGUAAGCAAAAGGGAACACUGACAAAGUAAUUAUUUCUAGCUAUCAAAUGUCCAUUCAUUGAUUUCUAGCCAAAGCAGAGAGAAUCAGGAAGUUUCUAUAAAGGGCAAUGAGUUUCCACAAUACAGAAUGUCUGUGUUGGCUCAACUCCUAC